rnacentral:rRNA from 1 species
CUACGGGAGGCUCCAGUGAGGAAUAUUGCACAAUGGGGGGAACCCUGAUGCAGCAACGCCGCGUGGAGGACGACGCAUUUCGGUGUGUAAACUCCUUUUAUAUGUCAAGAAAAUGACGGUAGCAUAUGAAUAAGCACCGGCUAACUCCGUGCCAGCAGCCGCGGUAAUACGGAGGGUGCAAGCGUUACUCGGAAUCACUGGGCGUAAAGGACGCGUAGGCGGGUUGGAAAGUCAGGUGUGAAAUCCUACAGCUUAACUGUAGAACUGCACUUGAAACUUCUAAUCUAGAGUAUGGGAGGGGGAGAUGGAAUUAGUGGUGUAGGGGUAAAAUCCGUAGAUAUCACUAGGAAUACCUAAAGCGAAGGCGAUCUCCUGGAACAUUACUGACGCUAAGGCGUGAAAGCGUGAGGAGCAAACAGGAUUAGAUACCCCCGUAGUC